rnacentral:misc_RNA from 1 species
GGAAGGAUCAUUAACAAUCACACGUGGGUGGGGUGGUCAGUGGACGCGAAAGCGCUCUCCUGUCCACCCUGCUUUACUACAAAAACCCAAAGGUUGCGUCACCUUUUGGCUGGCGCGACCUUCGGUAGUCUGGAUUGCUGCGCUUGCUUUUGCAAGCGUGCGCAUGAAGGGCUUUGUUUGGUCGUCGUUGUUCUCCGGCUGCUGGUCUGCAGCAGUGUGCCGUGUUCAUGUGCUGUGCACUGUUUUGCAUGUAUGCAUUGGACACACGCACUGCUGUAGUCCUGGCGCCAGGGACAAUUGACGCUCCACAUAAACAAAGUACACUGUUUUUUUAAUGUUUGACUAAGUUAUAUAAACAACCAAAUUAUAUACAACUUUUAACAAUGGAUCUCUUGGCUCUUGCAUCGAUGAAGAACGCAGUGAAUCGCGAUAUGUAAUGUGAAUCGCACAAACCUGUGAGUCAUCGAAUCUUUGAACGCACAUUGCACCCAUUGGUUUUUAUCAAUGGGUAUGCCUGUUUGAGAAUCGUAUUACCAUUUCUAACCUAUCCUGUGUUUGUGCCUGCUUUGGUGGGCAUGAUGGCAUGGGUGUGGUUACGGAGUUGAGGCCUUAACGACUGAUCGAUCACUCGCUCGGUUGUUGGUCUUGAAAUUGAGGGUACUGCCAGGUUGGUUGGUCAACAACGGCUUGCUCAACACGGUAACACGUGUUGUGUGGGCUUGCACCAGACCAGUCUUAGGGCUCUGUGUGGUAGGGUGUGUCGUGUCGGUGUCAGCUUGACACUUGACUGGACAACGCCAAUAGCACUUUGCCCGUCUUCUGUCCCCCAAAAGUGGUCAGAAGGGACUGUUGUCUCUGGUGGCGCGACCUAGCAGUCCACAGCCGAGGCCUCACCGCCUCACUCAACGCAUGCGUGUUUACACGUGUGCACUGGUCCAAUGAUCUCAAAUCAGGCAAGACUACCCGCUGAACUUAAGCAUAUCAGUAAGCGGAGGAAAAGAAACUAACAAGGAUUCCCCUAGUAGCGGCGAGUGAAGCGGGAACAGCUCAAAUUUAAAAUCUGGGAGGCGUUCCGUCUCUCCGAAUUGUAAUUUAAAGAGGCGUGUUCGGGGAAGGAUCGGUGGACAAGUUCCUUGGAAUAGGACAUCAAAGAGGGUGAGAAUCCCGUUUGGCCACUGAUACAACCGACCCCAUCAUGUCACGUCCUCAAAGAGUCGGGUUGUUUGGGAAUGCAGCCCAAAAUGGGUGGUAAAUUUCAUCUAAGGCUAAAUAUUGGCAAGAGACCGAUAGCGAACAAGUACCGUGAGGGAAAGAUGAAAAGAACUUUGAAAAGAGAGUUAAAUAGUGCGUGAAAUUGUUAAAAGGGAAACGAUUGAGACCAGUAUGGCCGGCGUGAUUUAGCUGUUCUUGCUGGACCGAUCGGGCGUGGGAGCUGUCAAAGGCCCCAAGCCUGGUUUGGGCAAAAGCGACGCAGUGUCCUUUCACGUCGGCACAGUCAGCGUCAGUUUGGCGUGCUGGAUAAGGGCUGGGGGAAGGUGACGCUUGCUUCGGCAAGUCGUUUUAUAGACCCCGGACUCCUGCAGCGUGCCGGACUGAGGAUCGCAGCAGGGCUGAAAGCAGGUCUGAUCUGGGGCCGGUUCUGGGUGAAUCUCAACGUGUUGAGACCGCCAACUGGCCACGGACCUCGGGCCUGCGGACCCUGUCUAAGGAUGCUGACGAAAUGGUCUUAAACGACCCGUCUUGAAACACGGACCAAGGAGUCUAACAUAUAUGCGAGUAUUCGGGUGGCAAACCCAAAUGCGCAAUGAAAGUGAAUUCGGGUGUGAUCCCUGUUCCUCACAAGGGGGCGGGGUGCAACAUCGACCGAUCUUGAUAUCUUUUGAUAGAUUUGAGUAAGAGCAUAUCUGUUAGGACCCGAAAGAUGGUGAACUAUGCCUGGGUAGGGUGAAGCCAGAGGAAACUCUGGUGGAGGCUCGUAGCGGUUCUGACGUGCAAAUCGAUCGUCAAACCUGGGUAUAGGGGCGAAAGACUAAUCGAACCAUCUAGUAGCUGGUUCCCUC